rnacentral:rRNA from 1 species
GGGUCAGUAGGUUGGUCGUGCCACCGGUACGUACUGGUCUCGCUGAUUCCUCCUUCCUGAAGAACCGUAAUGCCAUUAAUUUGGUGUUGCGGGGAAACAGGACCGUUACUUUGAAAAAAUUAGAGUGUUUAAAGCAAGCUAACGCUUGAAUACAUUAGCAUGGAAUAAUGAAAUAGGACGAUCGAUCCUAUUUUGUUGGUUUCUAGGAUUGACGUA